AAUCCGAGAUGCCUUACGAGCAAGAGGAGUUGAUCAAUGCUGCUGUUUAUCGCGUGGAUGCACUAGAAGCAUAGCUCAUCGACAAAAAAAAAGGUGUAAGAAUCUAUUUAAAACCCUGAAUGAUGCUUUAUAAGGAGCUAAUAUUAUGACAUUGUAGGCAUUACACGAGUCACGAGGCUUUAAUGAAGCAAUAAAAACUUUUGGGUUACAUAGACCGGAAAGAGGAAGGUGCCAAAUCUCCUUUGGCAGCUAAUAUUGUCAGGGUCGGGUUUGAAUAGAGGCUGAACAAGCAUUAGCUUGAGUGCCGGUUAGCUUAAAAUACUUUAGGGGCCAUUUUCAUUAAAGUUCAGUUAGUUCUGAUAGUAAACUUGGUUGGUAACUGUUGGAUAAGCUUCAAAGGUUACUUAAGUAAUAAGUUAUUCAAUAAGGAAAGAAGAAUAACUUAUACUAAUAGGAUUAGGAUAAAGAUAAGGUUCCUAGAUCAUUAUGUAAUAGGUUAAAGAUAAGGAUAUCUAUUGCUAUAUAUAGAGAUCAUAAUGUAAGAGAUCUAAUAAGAAAGUUAAGAAAGCAUAGAAAGAUAAUAAAACAAAGAAACAGUUUUAUAAGCUUGUGUGUUCUUGAUUACUUUAUUUGGUAUCAGAGCCAGGUUGACGAAGAUCUGUAAAAAGACCAAAAUACCCUUCAAGUAAGAAUAAGGGAGGUUCAGCAGAAACAGUCAAGAUGAUCAUGGAACCUGUGAUGACGAUCUCAAAGGACCGAGAUGUAGUGGGAGAAACAUUCUCAAAGGAAGCCAUGCGAUUACCGGUACAAGGUGGUGCCAAAGAUGAUUCGCCGAAGGAAACACUCGAGAUGGAUGUGAUCCUUAGCUUGAGGGGGAGAAUGUGAGAUAACAAGUUAAGUCCCACAUCGGAUAUUAGACAAAGGAAAGUCUAAUAUAUAAAGAGAUAUCCAACUCUAAUAGUACGAGGCCUUUUGGGAAGGAAACCAAAAGUAAAUCCAUGCGGGCCUGCCUCUUAGGCCCAAAGUGGACAAUAUCGUACUAAUAAGAUAAGAUAGAGUUGGAUACGGGAUUUCACAAUCCCAACAAUUGGUAUCAGAGCCAGGUUGACGAAGAUCUGCAAGAAGACCAAAAUACCCUUCAAGUAAGAAUAAGGGAGGUAUCAGAGCUCUAGGUUUUGUUCUUAGAAGUCAAGAAAACACAAGAUACGAUGGGCGAUACUAAACCCCUGUUGAAGAUUAAAGACUCGAUUCCAUCUGCAAUAGUUUGUCCAAUGCUAUCGACAUCUAACUAUACAGUAUGGACAAAGAGGAUGAAGGUUUUACUUAGAGUUCACAAGGUUUGGGAGGCGAUAGAUCCUGGAACGGAUGAUGAAGAAAAAAAUGACAUAGCCACGGCACUUUUGUUUCAAUCUAUUCCUGAGAAUCAGAUUAUGCAAGUUGGAGAAGAAGACACCCCUAAAGAGAUUUGGGAAGCAAUUAAAUCCAAAAACCUUGGUGCCGACCGUGUCAAAGAAGCUCGCUUACAAACCCUGAUGAACGAGUUUGAACGUUUAAGAAUGCUGGAAUCGGACACAAUUGAUAUCUUCUCUGGCAAGAUAUCAGAAAUAGCUGCGAAGUCUGCAUCUCUAGGUCAAACGCUUGAAGAACCUAAACUAGUUAAAAAGUUUCUGAACAGCUUACCGAGGAGUAAGUACAUUCACAUCACAGCCUCGCUUGAACAAGUACUCGACCUCAAUAAGACAAGUUAUGAAGACAUUGUUGGGAGACUUAAAGCUUUCGAGGAACGUGUACUAGGUGAUGAUACACACGAUCAACAAGGAACCCUUCUCUAUGCAAACUCUGAAUAUGGAAACAGAGGAAGAGGCAGAGGAAACCGUGGUCGUGGACGAGGAAACAGAGGAAGGGGACGUGGUAGAAGUGGCUCACAAGAGAGAAACAAAGAGAAGAAGGACUACUCGCAAAUCGAAUGCUUCAACUGCCAUAAGAAAGGUCACUUUGCCUCUGUUUGUCCUGACAAGAAAGAAGAUCAGGAGCUCAACAAAACAGAAACGGAAGAUGCAGAUGUAGCACUUUAUAUGCAUGAAGUUGUGUUUCUUAAUGAAGAGAAAGUAAUGCCAAGGAAGUUAGAAACCAACAAAGAAGAAGGAAUGUGGUAUCUAGACAAUGGCGCUAGUAAUCACAUGACAGGAGAGAGAUCUUAUUUCUCGGAGCUAAACGAAAACAUAAAAGGGAAAGUAAAAUUCGGGGAUGGAUCAUAUGUUGACAUUAAUGGGAAGGGAUCUAUUCUCUUUGAAGCAAAAACAGGAGAAUAGAAACUGUUAACAGAUAUCUACUUCAUACCUGAGCUAAGAAGUAAUAUACUAAGUCUAGGACAAGCGACAGAGCAAGGGUGUGAUGUCAGAAUGAAAGACGAUUUCCUAACCCUUAGAGAUCCUGAUGGAAGAUUGUUAGUGAAAGUCAUGAGAUCUCCGAACAGGCUCUACAAGCUAAAGCUUCAAGUAGGAAAAGCAGCUUGUCUACACGCUAGAAUGGACGAGGAACCAUGGAAGUGGCAUGCAAGACUUGGCCACAUCAGUUUCAAAACGUUGAGAACCAUGGCUACACAAGGAAUGGUUUACGGAUUACCUGAGAUAAAAGAAGAAAGACGUCUAUGCGAUUCUUGCUUGGUGGGCAAGCAAACUCGCCAAUCCUUCCCAAAAGCAACAACGUUUAGAUCCUCUCACGCUCUGGAACUCUUACAUGCGGACCUUUGCGGUCCAAUCUCUCCUGCAACACUAUCUCAUAACCGAUAUAUCUUUGUCAUAAUCGACGAUUGCACUAGGUAUAUGUGGUCUAUAUUACUAAGAGAUAAAAGUGAAGCUUUUGGUAAGUUCAAAACGUUUAAAAACUUGGUUGAGAAGGACUUCAACAAGGAGAUAAUAACGUUGCGGACAGAUAGAGGUGGUGAGUUUACCUCUCGGGAGUUUCAGGAGUACUGCAACAACAAUGGCAUAAGGCGACACUUAACCGCACCGUACACUCCGCAGCAGAACGGCGUAGUGGAGCGAAGGAACCGCACACUAAUGGAGAUGACUCGAAGUCUUCUUAAAGCAAUGAGCCUUCCAAACUACUUAUGGGGAGAGGCAGUUAGACAUGCCACGUAUUUGAUUAACAGAGUCCCUACAAGGGCUUUGAAAAAUCAAACUCCCUACGAGUGUAUGCGAGGCAAGAAACCGAGUGUAUCUCAUAUAAGAGUGUUCGGAUGUAUGGCGUAUGCAAAGAUUGAUUCAGAUCAUCUAAGGAAGCUCGAUGAUCGAUCUCAAGCGUUGGUUCACCUUGGUCUUGAACCUGGUUCCAAGGCUUAUCGCCUUUACAACCCUACUACUAGACGAGUUAUUGUUAGUAGAGACGUGAUCUUCAAUGAAAGGGCAUGCUGGAACUGGAAGGGAGCUGAUAAGGAAGUUCAGUACACGCCAGGCAUGUUUCAUAUGUCAUGGGGAUCUACAGAGGAUAAUGGAAGUGGUCCUUAUGUAGUAGGUUCCAACAAUGAAGAUAUAGUUGCAGAGCCAGGAACAGAGAAUAAUGAGACAGCAGAGGUUGUUUCAGAUACAGUCAAUGAUCAAGAGGUUACACAAGAAGUAAGAAGAUCAAACCGACAAACAAAUCGACCAAGCUACCUUGAAGAUUACGUCAUGCUGGCUGAUCUUGAGUGUGAGAUUUUGCUGCUUGCCUUGAAUGAUGAACCGUUAAACAUUCAAGAAGCACUCAAGAGUAAGCGAUGGAAGUUAGCAUGUACAGAUGAGAUCGAUUCCAUAUACAAAAACGAGACUUGGAUACUAGUUGAGAAGCCGCAAGGAGUGAAAGUAAUAGGCCUCAAAUGGAUAUUUAAAGUCAAAAGGAACGCUGACGGAAGCAUCAACAAAUUCAAGUCAAGACUUGUUGCAAAGGGUUACGUUCAAGAACAUGGAAUCGACUUUGAUGAGGUCUUUGCUCCGGUAGCUAGGUUGGAAACAAUCAGAUUGCUUAUAGGCCUUGCUGCUACAAAUGGGUGGGAGAUCCACCAUCUCGAUGUCAAAACAGCUUUCUUGCAUGGUGAACUGAUAGAAGAAGUAUAUGUGUCACAACCAGAAGGGUUUGAAAAGAAGGGAGAGGAACACAAAGUUUUCAAACUAAAGAAGGCGUUAUAUGGAUUGCGACAGGCUCCUAGAGCAUGGAACACAAAACUCGACCAGAUUCUAAAGGGCUUGAAGUUUAAGAAGUGCUCUAAAGAGAGUUCGGUCUAUCGCAAGGAAGUAAAGAGUAAACUUCUUAUAGUAGCCGUCUAUGUCGACGAUCUCUUCGUGACUGGAAGCUCAGUGCAAGCGAUCAUGGAGUUCAAAAGUUCUAUGUCAAAAGAGUUUGAGAUGUCUGAUCUUGGAAGGUUGACAUAUUACCUUGGUAUUGAGGUAAGACAAAGCGCAGAAGGAAUAGAGAUCAAGCAAGAGGCUUAUGCGCGCCAAAUAUUGAAAGAUGCAGGAAUGGAUACGUGCAAUGCAAGCCAAAUACCUAUGGAGUUCGGUCUGAAGAUAUCUAAAGCUAUAGAAGAACCUGAGAUUGACGCAACAGUUUACAGGAGAAGGAUUGGCUGUCUUAGGUAUCUCCUACACACUAGACCAGACCUUACCUUCUCGAUUGGGAUCCUAAGCCGAUACAUGCACACACCUCGCAAGUCUCACGGUGAUGCAUUAAAGCAAGUACUAAGGUAUCUAAAAGGCACACUUGGCUAUGGUUUAAAGUUUAAGAGCAAUGGAUCGAAGAAACUACUUGGAUAUAGCGAUAGUAGUCACAACACUGACUUGGACGACGGGAAGAGCACGACAGGUUAUCUGUUCUGUCUUGGAGAUACACCAAUAACAUGGUGUUUUCAGAAGCAAGAGACAGUAGCUCUAUCAUCCUGUGAGGCCGAAUUUAUGGCAGCAACUGAAGCAGCCAAGCAAGCAAUUUGGCUCCAAGAUUUGAUGAGUGAGAUAACUGAAAGGAAGAAUGAAAAGACGCUGAUCCGAGUGGACAACAAGUCAGCCAUUGCAUUAGCCAAGAAUCCGGUGUUCCAUCGACGAAGCAAACACAUUCAUAAAAGGUAUCACUUCAUAAGAGAAUGUGUAGAAAAGAAUCAAAUCGAUGUAGAACAUGUUCCCGGAAAGGAUCAACUUGCAGACAUACUAACAAAAGCAUUGGCGAAGAUCAAGUUUACAGAAAUGAGAGAGAAGAUUCAAGUUCUUAACUUAAGCAAGGAUGAUAUGAAGCUUAAGGGGGAGAAUGUUGGAUAAGCUUCAAAGGUUACUUAAGUAAUAAGUUAUUCAAUAAGGAAAGAAGAAUAACUUAUACUAAUAGGAUUAGGAUAAAGAUAAGGUUCCUAGAUCGUUAUGUAAUAGGUUAAAGAUAAGGAUAUCUAUUGCUAUAUAUAGAGAUCAUAAUGUAAGAGAUCUAAUAAGAAAGUUAAGAAAGCAUAGAAAGAUAAUAAAACAAAGAAACAGUUUUAUAAGCUUGUGUGUUCUUGAUUACUUUAGUAACGUAUUCAAAGUGCAGAGUUUGAACCCCCCCAAUUCUGUAUAUUAUAACACUAAUUUUUUUUAUAAAAAAGUUUAUAGGGCCAAAAAAAAAAUUGGUUGCUUCUGACCUUAUAUAUGUCAGGCACAGCCGUGAAUAUUGCUUCCUGACUAUUUCAUUAUCAUUAUAGAAAUCAAGGUUUUGAGGUAAUUAGCAAAGUUGCUUGUUCAGCAAUCUGAUUAUAAAGCAUGGAACAUUGACACAUAUAGGACUGUAAGCA
rnacentral:lncRNA from 1 species